rnacentral:tRNA from 1 species
UCCCUGGUGGUCCAGUGGCUAAGACUCUGUGCUCCCGUUUCAGGGGGUCUGGGUUCGAUCCCUGGUCAGGGAA